rnacentral:rRNA from 1 species
GACGAACGCUGGCGGCGUGCCUAAUACAUGCAAGUCGAACGCAGUGGGGACGGGUGAGUAACACGUGGGUAACCUCCCAUCAGAGGGGAUAACACUUGGAAACAGGUGCUAAAACGAUACUGAUGGAUGGAACCGCGGUGCAUUAGCUAGUGGGUGAGGUAACGGCUCAACAAGGCCACGAUGCAUAGCCGACCUGAGAGGGUGAUCGUCCACCUGGGGACUGAGACACUGCCCAUACUCCGACGGGAGGCAGCAGUAGGGAAUCUUCGUCAAUGGACGAAAGUCUGCCCGAGCAACGCCGCGUGAUUGAAGAAGGUUUUCGGUUCGUAAAACUCUGUUGUUAGAGAAGCGGUAUCUAACCAGAAAGCCAAGGCUAACUACGUGCCAGCAGCCGCGGUAAUAC